AUGUAGUAAUACAUUCAGUGGCGAACGGGUGAGUAACGCGUGGAUAAUCUACCUACGAGAUGGGGAUAACUAUUAGAAAUAGUAGCUAAUACCGAAUAAAGUCAAUUAAGAUGUUAGUUGAUGAAAGGAAGCCUUUAAAGCUUCGCUUGUAGAUGAGUCUGCGUCUUAUUAGCUAGUUGGUGGGAUAAGAGCCUACCAAGGCUAUGAUAAGUAACCGGCCUGAGAGGGUGAUCGGUCACACUGGAACUGAGAUACGGUCCAGACUCCUACGGGAGGCAGCAGCUAAGAAUCUUCCGCAAUGGGCGAAAGCCUGACGGAGCGACACUGCGUGAACGAAGAAGGUCGAAAGAUUGUAAAGUUCUUUUAUAAGUGAGGAAUAAGCUUUGUAGGAAAUGACAAAGCGAUGACGUUAAUUUAUGAAUAAGCCCCGGCUAAUUACGUGCCAGCAGCCGCGGUAAUACGUAAGGGGCGAGCGUUGUUCGGGAUCAUUGGGCGUAAAGGGUGAGUAGGCGGAUAUGCAAGUCUAUGUGUAAAAUACCACAGCUCAACUGUGGAACUAUGCUGGAAACUGCAUGACUAGAGUCUGAUAGGGGAAGUUAGAAUUCCUGGUGUAAGGGUGGAAUCUGUUGAUAUCAGGAAGAAUACCAGAGGCGAAGGCGAACUUCUAGGUCAAGACUGACGCUGAGUCACGAAAGCGUAGGGAGCAAACAGGAUUAGAUACCCUGGUAGUCUACGCUGUAAACGAUGCACACUUGGUGUUAAUCGAAAGGUUAGUACC
rnacentral:rRNA from 1 species